rnacentral:rRNA from 1 species
AUUGAACGCUGGCGGCAUGCUUUACACAUGCAAGUCGAACGGUAGCACGACUCUUGGUUCGGGCGUGUGGCGGGCGAACGGGUAAUGAAUCGAACGGGACCUGUCCUGUAGUGAGGGAUAAGCCGGCGAAAGCCGGAUUAAUACCGCAUACGAUGUACGAAUGAAAGCGAGGGUAAGACGUUUCUCGCGUGGGGGGGCCGAUGGCUGACUAGUUAGUUGGUGGGGUGAAGGCUGACCAACGAAACGAUCGGUAGCUGGUCUGAGAGGAAGACCAGCCACACUGGGACUGAGACACGGCCCAGACUCCUACGGGAGGCAGCAGUGGGGAAUUUUGGACAAUGGGCGAAAGCCUGAUCCAGCAAUGCCGCGUGUGGGAAGAAGGCCUUCGGGUUGUAAAGCGCUUUUGUGCGGAAAGAAACCCUUGGGGCUAAUACGGGGGGUUAAUGACGGUACCGGAAGAAUAAGCACCGGCUAACUACGUG